UCCUACGGGAGGCAGCAGUGAGGAAUAUUGGUCAAUGGUCGGGAGACUGAACCAGCCAAGCCGCGUGAGGGAUGAAGGUACAGAGUAUCGUAAACCUCUUUUGUCAGGGAACAAAGGCGGGGACGUGUCCCCGGAUGAGUGUACCUGAAGAAAAAGCAUCGGCUAACUCCGUGCCAGCAGCCGCGGUAAUACGGAGGAUACGAGCGUUAUCCGGAUUUAUUGGGUUUAAAGGGUGCGCAGGCGGUCUGUUAAGUCAGCGGUCAAAGCCCGGGGCUCAACCCCGGCCCGCCGUUGAAACUGGCAGU
rnacentral:rRNA from 1 species